UGGUCAUCAACUUCAGUACUGUCUUGGAGGGAUAGCAAUAAAACCCUUUCAAAGAAAAAAGGGAGGAGAGACCUGAAGAGCCAGAAGAUGGUCAGGUUGCAGCAGCAGCAGGACCCUUUUGAGCAGAGAGAUAUAGGCUACUCAAAUCCUUGAAGCAGCCUCGAGUUUUGGAACGCCUGAGGACCCUGACAAAUACUGCUCUACAUGUACCUGUACAGAGGCAGACUCAGACAUCAGGAAAACAAGGCAUGUGUUGGGUCCUAACUGAGGAUGAGGACAAUGGGUGAGAAGUGUGAUCACUGUGAAUGAAGUUGCCACUUACAUGUCCAGUUUCGCCAUUACUUUCCUGGGCAUGCACCACAGCACUCCUACAACUCUGCUACAGGCCUGCUUGGUGGAGAUCAGUGACCCAUUGUAAAGCCAGGGAUAUAGAAUUUCAUCUUGUUUAAGGGGCAGGUAAAUUAGCUUCCAGAUUUUGCGUGGUUGUGAUUAUGACCUGCAUGGACUUAUUUGAGAGACUUGCUUGAAGCCCUAUGAGAUGCAUUCUCGCAAUUUCCUGUGUCACCCAUCCAUUCAUGCUGGAGUUAGUCUUCUCUAUUCUCUCCGUUAUUGUGGUGUGCGUGUGUGUGUGGCACAUCUGUCAGUACCUGGCUAAGUUGCUGAUGCAUGCCUCGUAUUCCCCUUUUCAGCAUCUGUGCCCAGCUAAAUAGAGCUUGUAAGUUAGAUAACUGUUCUAAUAAAAAUCCUGGACCUAA